rnacentral:rRNA from 1 species
GGGGGGGGGGGGGGGGGUGGGGGGGGGGGGGGGGGCGGACGGGGGGGCCCAAGCUUGCUUGGGUACUCGAGUGGCGAACGGGUGAGUAACACGUGGGGGAUCGGCCCUGCACUUCGGGAUAAGCCUGGGAAACUGGGUCUAAUACCGGAUAGGACCACAUUUUGGAUGGUGUGGUGGAAAGUUUUUCGGUGUGGGAUGAGCUCGCGGCCUAUCAGCUUGUUGGUGGGGUAAUGGCCUACCAAGGCGUCGACGGGUAGCCGGCCUGAGAGGGUGUACGGCCACAUUGGGACUGAGAUACGGCCCAGACUCCUACGGGAUGCAGCAGUGGGGAAUAUUGCACAAUGGGCGCAAGCCUGAUGCAGCGACGCCGCGUGGGGGAUGACGGCCUUCGGGUUGUAAACUCCUUUCGCUAGGGACGAAGCGUUUUUGUGACGGUACCUGGAGAAGAAGCACCGGCUAACUACGUG